CCUACGGGAGGCAGCAGUGGGGAAUAUUGCACAAUGGGCGCAAGCCUGAUGCAGCAACGCCGCGUGAGGGACGACGGCCUUCGGGUUGUAAACCUCUUUUAGUAGGGAAGAAGCGAAAGUGACGGUACCUGCAGAAAAAGCACCGGCUAACUACGUGCCAGCAGCCGCGGUAAUACGUAGGGUGCAAGCGUUAUCCGGAAUUAUUGGGCGUAAAGAGCUCGUAGGCGGUUUGUCGCGUCUGCUGUGAAAACUGGAGGCUCAACCUCCAGCCUGCAGUGGGUACGGGCAAACUAGAGUGCGGUAGGGGAGAUUGGAAUUCCUGGUGUAGCGGUGGAAUGCGCAGAUAUCAGGAGGAACACCGAUGGCGAAGGCAGAUCUCUGGGCCGUAACUGACGCUGAGGAGCGAAAGCAUGGGGAGCGAACAGGAUUAGAUACCCUGGUAGUCCACGCCGUAAACGUUGGGCGCUAGAUGUGGGGACCAUUCCACGGUUUCCGUGUCGCAGCUAACGCAUUAAGCGCCCCGCCUGGGGAGUACGGCCGCAAGGCAAAACUUAAAUGAAUUGACGG
rnacentral:rRNA from 1 species